GACGAACGCUGGCGGCGUGCUUAACACAUGCAAGUCGAACGGAAAGGCCCUGCUUUUGUGGGGUGCUCGAGUGGCGAACGGGUGAGUAACACGUGAGUAACCUGCCCUUGACUUUGGGAUAACUUCAGGAAACUGGGGCUAAUACCGGAUAGGAGCUCCUGCUGCAUGGUGGGGGUUGGAAAGUUUCGGCGGUUGGGGAUGGACUCGCGGCUUAUCAGCUUGUUGGUGGGGUAGUGGCUUACCAAGGCUUUGACGGGUAGCCGGCCUGAGAGGGUGACCGGCCACAUUGGGACUGAGAUACGGCCCAGACUCCUACGGGAGGCAGCAGUGGGGAAUAUUGCACAAUGGGCGGAAGCCUGAUGCAGAAACGCCGCGUGCGGGAUGACGGCCUUCGGGUUGUAAACCGCUUUCGACUGUGACGAAGCGUGAGUGACGGUAAUGGGUAAAGAAGCACCGGCUAACUACGUG
rnacentral:rRNA from 1 species